rnacentral:rRNA from 1 species
GGAUCGGUAUGUUGGUCGUGCUUCGGUACGUACUGUCAUUACCGGUUUCUACCUUCUGAAGAACCGCGAUGUCAUUAAUUUGGUGUCGUGGGGAAUCAGGACUGUUACUUUGAAAAAAUUAGAGUGUUUAAAGCAGGCAUGUGCCGGAAUAAUUGCGCUGGGAAUAAUGGAAUAGGACCU